rnacentral:rRNA from 1 species
UACGUAGGUGGCAAGCGUUGUCCGGAAUUAUUGGGCGUAAAGCGCGCGCAGGCGGCCGGGUAAGUCUGAUGUGAAAGCCCGGGGCUCAACCCCGGUGUGCAUUGGAAACUGUCCGGCUUGAGUGCAGGAGAGGAAAGCGGUAUUCCACGUGUAGCGGUGAAAUGCGUAGAGAUGUGGAGGAACACCAGUGGCGAAGGCGGCCAGCUGGCCCUGACCUGACGCUGAGGCGCGAAGGCGCGGGGAGCGAACGGG